GACGAACGCUGGCGGCGUGCUUAACACAUGCAAGUCGAACGGAAAGGCCCUGCUUUUGUGGGGUGCUCGAGUGGCGAACGGGUGAGUAACACGUGAGUAACCUGCCCUUGACUUUGGGAUAACUUCAGGAAACUGGGGCUAAUACCGGAUAGGAGCUCCUGCUGCAUGGUGGGGGUUGGAAAGUUUCGGCGGUUGGGGAUGGACUCGCGGCUUAUCAGCUUGUUGGUGGGGUAGUGGCUUACCAAGGCUUUGACGGGUAGCCGGCCUGAGAGGGUGACCGGCCACAUUGGGACUGAGAUACGGCCCAGACUCCUACGGGAGGCAGCAGUGGGGAAUAUUGCACAAUGGGCGGAAGCCUGAUGCAGCAACGCCGCGUGCGGGAUGACGGCCUUCGGGUUGUAAACCGCUUUCGCCUGUGACGAAGCGUGAGUGACGGUAAUGGGUAAAGAAGCACCGGCUAACUACGUGCCGGCAGCCGCGGUGAUACGUAGGGUGCGAGCGUUGUCCGGAUUUAUUGGGCGUAAAGGGCUCGUAGGUGGUUGAUCGCGUCGGAAGUGUAAUCUUGGGGCUUAACCCUGAGCGUGCUUUCGAUACGGGUUGACUUGAGGAAGGUAGGGGAGAAUGGAAUUCCUGGUGGAGCGGUGGAAUGCGCAGAUAUCAGGAGGAACACCAGUGGCGAAGGCGGUUCUCUGGGCCUUUCCUGACGCUGAGGAGCGAAAGCGUGGGGAGCGAACAGGCUUAGAUACCCUGGUAGUCCACGCUGUAAACGGUGGGUACCAGGUGUGGGGUCCAUUCCACGGGUUCCGUGCCGUAGCUAACGCUUUAAGUACCCCGCCUGGGGAGUACGGCCGCAAGGCUAAAACUCAAAGGAAUUGACGGGGCCCCGCACAAGCGGCGGAGCAUGCGGAUUAAUUCGAUGCAACGCGUAGAACCUUACCUGGGUUUGACAUGGAUCGGGAGCGCUCAGAGAUGGGUGUGCCUCUUUUGGGGUCGGUUCACAGGUGGUGCAUGGCUGUCGUCAGCUCGUGUCGUGAGAUGUUGGGUUAAGUCCCGCAACGAGCGCAACCCUUGUUCACUGUUGCCAGCACGUUAUGGUGGGGACUCAGUGGAGACCGCCGGGGUCAACUCGGAGGAAGGUGGGGAUGACGUCAAGUCACCAUGCCCCUUAUGUCCAGGGCUUCACGCAUGCUACAAUGGCUGGUACAGAGAGUGGCGAGCCUGUGAGGGUGAGCGAAUCUCGGAAAGCCGGUCUCAGUUCGGAUUGGGGUCUGCAACUCGACCUCAUGAAGUCGGAGUCGCUAGUAAUCGCAGAUCAGCAACGCUGCGGUGAAUACGUUCCCGGGGCU
rnacentral:rRNA from 1 species